UUCCUCCUGAAGACCCUGAUGAAGAUGGAGGAGCCGGUACUGGUGCUAUUCCCUUGGGGCCACCUCUACCACUGGCAGAGCCCCGAUCCCUGGUCCGACUCCUUUGACCUCCCAAGUCUCAACAGAAACAUCCCUGACAUUGAGUACGAGCAGUUCAUUGCAGGGUUCAAUUGGUGAUAAUAAUAGUAACCAAAGCAAUAGCAAACCCUUACAGAACUCUGUCCUGCUGUUCCAUGAAUGCUGUGUUCAUGACAACCCAAUGAGUUCGCACCACUAUGAGUUCCACUUUAAAGAUGGCCUUGCCUCCUGCUUCAGAGAGAAUGACAUGUUACUGGAAAGGAUCUCGCUCACCUGCAGCAAACCUGCUCACCUCAAAUUUUAUCUGUCUCUCUCCCACCUGGACUCUAGCUGUAGUUGUUCUUAAUUUAGUGAGUUUAGUUGUCAUAUAUAUACACAGUUAAAAGCAUAGCACACUAUAGGCCACCUUCUAGGGCUUACUUUUUCAAUUUAACAUAGAGUGUAAGAUUCAUCCAUUUCAUUGCAUGUACCUGCAGUUCAUUUGUUUUAACUGAUCUUAAAUAUUGUGUGUGUGAAAAUAACACAAGAGAAGGGUAAGCCAGGAGUCAGGAUGAUGGUUAUUUCCUAUGAGAAGAGGCCAAGAACAGGAUAGGGAAAGAGGACACAGUAUGUCUCUGUCAGUAUUCCUGUUAUGAUGCUGGGUGAUAUGUUCAUAACUGUGUCUUUUAAUAUUAAUUUUAAUACAUAAAUACCUCUGACAGGCAUCUAUGAUGAGAAUGUGUCAUGAACCAAGACAUACAAUGGGUAAUAUUACAUCAUUAUUGUUAUGUAAUCUUGUUAUAUUAUAUAUUAAUGAUAAUCUUACAUUAUUUGUUAUGGGUUAUAUAUUACAU